CCUCCAAGGGGCGUAGUCACACGAGUACUAAAAGAAGUGUUUAAAUUUAAGCUAAGAAAUUAAAAUUACAUAUUUUCUGUUUGAGAGUAUUUGAAUUGGACCCUUUUCUCUGUCUUCUCUUUCUUUUUAUAUUCCCUUGAUAAUUUCCUCGUGACAAACCACUUGAAAACUGCUUGAUUUCUUUAUAACUACCCACUUUCUUUAUGGUGGCUAACUUGUCGUGGAACUGCCGUCUCUAACUGCUGCCAUUACUCUUUUUCGUUCAACCUCCUUCAACUGGGCUCCUUGAAUCGUGAAAUGUGAUAAGAUUACUCAAUAACUGCUUCAAUAACUACUAUUCUGGAUAAUCAUAAUAUUUUAUGUUUGCUAAGAUCUUGAGCGAUUCGAAGGUUUGGGCGAAAACGGGGUCAUCGCUCUGGGCGACCGUAAGGCACUCCAUCCGCUCAUAUUCUGGGUGUCUUGCAAGCUUGGACGAUGAUGUUACUGUGUUCGUGGGCUUCCACUGCAUUCAUCAAUAAUCCUGUUUGGACAUUUAUCCUGGACUCUCUAAUUGGGCUUCACUCUUUGGGCUAUUUGAUUUGGGCUGCACUUUUAGUGUGUCAACAAUUACCCCCCAAUAUGGCAGAAUUAAUACCAAUUAUUAAUCUUUGUCAUAUUCACUUCGUAUUUUCCAGCAACAUUUGAAAUUCCCAAGAAUUUCGAUCAUUAUUUCCUUCUAUAGCCUGAAAAGGUGCAACGUUACAAACCCUUAUAAACCUAAAAGACACGUCAUUUCAUCGCACCACUAAACCACGUCUCUAUAUUUCGCACAUCCUCCUCACUAUUUUAACUGUUCAUCUUCUUGCUUCUCUGCUACGUUUCUCAGGCAAAUCUUAACAAAACUGUACUUUGCACCCAACGGCGAUUUCACAAACUCAAUCUGAUGAUUCUUUUAGUUUCGAAGAUUUCCAGAAAAUCCUUACUAGGCCGUAUGUAAAUUCAAACUUCCUUGCACAAGCCAAUGCUGACCUCAAUCAAUUCUAUCUGGGUCCAUCAUUUAAUAAUGUCGAAGCCGUUGGACAAGUGGUGGUGGGCCAGCUGUUCCCUUACACUCAAGACCCUCCGUUCCUAAACUCGCUGCCAUUGAGGCGACUCGCGAAAAAAGUAUUCACACUUGGCCCAAAGCUGAUGUUAUUUUUCGUAGAUGGCAUGCACGUCUUGUAAAUCAUGGCCCUACCAAGGCGAUUUUUGAUCGUGCUAGGAUUUUAGACUUAUUCGAAAUCGUUCUUCAACCCCCAAUUUUCGACCCAUUGCUUUUUUCGAUUGCUUUGAGUUUUUGGUCUUUUGAAUAUAAUACCUUCGUUUUCCCUCUUGGUCCCAUGUCUAUUACUUUAAGGAACGUUGGAGCCCUAGUAAAUCUUUCGCCUUUGGGCGAUACCAUCUUUCCUGGUAUCUUGAUUUCCAGUGUUGGCUCGAAAUUUGACAAGAAACUUACUGAGUCCUAUUCAAGCAUGCAAGGAUUUUAUAAUCAUUCGAGUGCUGAAUCUUCCCAUACUGAGCGUGUGACAUUUCUUCAAAUUUAGCUCUGUAAAUAUAUUCUCUGCGUGCCAAGUAUGAAACCUUCUAUGAGCUACUUACCCAUAGCGCAUGAAUUGGCGCAUGGUAGGUCUUUGAACUUAUGUUCCUUCUUUUUAGCUGCGUUUUAUAGAGGCAUGACUUCUCUUCAAUCUCAACUGAAGAAUGGUGCAUCUCCCACUGGCAGUGGGCCCCUUUGAUUCACUCAACUGUGGUUGAGAGCAUACUUUCCACCACUUGGUGCUCCAUCCAUUUCCCUUAUAGGCACUUCUUCUUCUAAACAAUCCACCUUGUUGAUUUCUCGGCCAAUAUUUUGUUCCAACUCGAACACUG
rnacentral:lncRNA from 1 species